rnacentral:rRNA from 1 species
CAGCAGCCGCGGUAAAACGGAGGAUCCAAGCGUUAUCCGGAUUUAUUGGGUUUAAAGGGUGCGUAGGCGGCUUUUUAAGUCAGGGGUGAAAGACGGUAGCUUAACUAUCGCAGUGCCCUUGAUACUGAAGAGCUUGAAUAUAGUUGAGGUAGGCGGAAUGUGACAAGUAGCGGUGAAAUGCAUAGAUAUGUCACAGAACACCAAUUGCGAAGGCAGCUUACUAAGCUAUGAUUGACGCUGAGGCACGAAAGCGUGGGGAUCAAACAGGAUUAGAUACCCCGGUAGUCCCUGUCUCUUAUAC